rfam:Schistosoma haematobium scaffold964_12, whole genome shotgun sequence.
AUCCAGCUUACGAAUCCUAAAUAGGACGAAACACGCGUCCUGAAU